GUCCUGCGACGGGAGGUAGCUGAAAGGGAAGGGCGGCGGCGCUGGUGGCGCCGUCGACGAAGCCAAGGAUCUGGUGCCCAGGCUGCCGCCUCUGGUGCCCAACCUGCCGCCGCUGCCGCCCGACCUGCAACGCCGCACCUUGGAGUUCGCCGACGUCCAUGGGCUCCGAUAGCUCCAGCCAUGUCGGACUGGAUCUCGCUAUUCCUGGCGCCCCUUGCCCAUGCCUUCACCGGACCUCGCCGGAAGCCGCUGCCUCGCCGGGGAUCGAGGCGUCGUUGCAGUUGCGGCGGGGGUCGACUGGGACGAAGGACGACGCGGGCGGCGGUGGCUCCCCUCUUCUUCUCUCUGUGUCUCGAUCUGGAUACGAAGGGGGCAGGAGGUCUACGGGGUGGGGAAGACGGAGGUAAUGG
rnacentral:lncRNA from 1 species